rnacentral:tRNA from 1 species
CAGGGCGUGGCGCAGUUUGGCUGGCGCGCUUGACUGGGGGUCAAGAGGUCCCGGGUUCAAGCCCUGUCGCCCCGA